UACGUACCGUCCAAACGUUAUUCGGAAUUACUGGGCUUAAAGGGUUUGUAGGCGGCGCUGUUAGUCGGGUGUGAAAUCCCAGGGCUCAACCCUGGAACUGCGCCCAAUACUGCAGUGCUUGAGGGAGACAGAGGUAAGCGGAACUGAUGGUGGAGCGGUGAAAUGCGUUGAUAUCAUCAGGAACACCGGUGGCGAAAGCGGCUUACUGGGUCUCUUCUGACGCUGAGAAACGAAAGCUAGGGGAGCGAAGGGG
rnacentral:rRNA from 1 species